rnacentral:rRNA from 1 species
UUUUGGACAAUGGGCGCAAGCCUGAUCCAGCAAUGCCGCGUGCAGGAUGAAGGCCUUCGGGUUGUAAACUGCUUUUGUCCCCCCCCCCCAAGGCUUCCACUAAUACUGGGGGCUCAUGACGGUACCGUAAGAAUAAGCACCGGCUAACUACGUGCCAGCAGCCGCGGUAAUACGUAGGGUGCAAGCGUUAAUCGGAAUUACUGGGCGUAAAGCGUGCGCAGGCGGUUAUGUAAGACAGAUGUGAAAUCCCCGGGCUUAACCUGGGAACCGCCCCUUGUGACUGCAUAGCUAGAGUACGGUAGAGGGGGAUGGAAUUCCGCGUGUAGCAGUGAAAUGCGUAGAUAUGCGGAGGAACACCGAUGGCGAAGGCAAUCCCCUGACCUGUACUGACGCUCAUGCACGAAA